AAGCCGGAGUUGAGCGAGGCCCGGGCUAUCCGGCGCCAGAGCAGGUCGCAGCUGGUGAAGCGCCGCAGCCAGCGGCACACCUGGGCCAGGCGGCCGAGGGCCCGCAUGUCCAGGCCACAUGCCGGGGCCCCAGGAACAGCAGCCCUGGAAGUUCCACACCCCGGUUUCUCACACAGGUUCUCAUGGCACCCACCUGAGAGGAGAGCACCCGAGGUCUACACCUGUGCUGUCCAACACCGUCCCUCCUUGCCACGUGACUCUGAAGCAUUUGACGUGUGACUGGUUCAAAUUGAAGUAUGCUGUAUCAUGCUGUUGGAAAGCUAUCAAGACAGGAACACUGCAAAUUAAGGAAAUAUCACAUCAAUUCAACAUUUAUGGAUCUCUGUACAGUGAGGUGCUCUGGAAAGAUAAAUGUGGUUCUUACAUUUUGUGUUUAGAUUUGAGUAAGACAUGUUUGUAAUUUCUUACUAUAAAACUAUUUUUUAAAAAAGAUUUUUAUUUAUUUACUUGGAAAUCAGAGAGAUGGAGAGACAGAGAUCUUCCAUCUGCUGGUUCACGUCCCGGACCAGCUGGGGCUGGGCCCUGUCAAACCAGGAGCUUCAUCGGGGUCUCCCACUAAGUGGUAGGGGCCCAAACACUUGGGCCAUGUUCUGCUGCUUUUCCCAGGUUUUUCCAUCAGAAGUGGAACAGUGGACAUGAAUGCUGGCCCCCUAAUGGGACUACUUUUUAACCCUUCUUUAAUACAUCUUGAAGUUGAGUAGUUCAUCAACAUUCUGCCUAAUUUUUAGUGAACUAGAAGGGACAAUUAUUUCAGUAAACUAAGCUACCAUGAAUUAAGUCAGAAUUAAUCCACAGUCACAAGUACAAUUCAUCCUUUAUUCCAUGUUGGCUUCAUUGAUAGAAAAAUUAAACUAUCAUUUAAAACCAUCAAAUCGCCCUCAUUCAUACCCAAACUAGAGAUCAAGUGAACUGCUUAGGCUUAAAUUUAUGGUUUAAUGAUUUUUUUAAUAUUUAUUUAUUUGAAAGAGUUACACAGAGAAAGAAGAAGAGGCAGAGAGAGAGAGAAAGAGAGGUCUUCCAUCCGCUGGUUCACUCCCCAAUUGGCCGCAACAGCUGGAACUGCACCAAUCUAAAGCCAGGAGCCAGGAGAUUCUUCUAGGUCUCCCAUGCCAGUGCAGGGGCCCAAGGACUUGGGCCAUCUUCUGCUUUCCUAGGCCAUAGCAGAGAGCUGGAUCAGAAGUAGAACAGCAGGGACUUGAACUGGCACCCAUGUGGGAUGCCGGCACUGCAGGUGGGGGCUUUACCCACUAAGCCACAGCACCAGCCCCAAUGAUUUUCAAAAAAGCCAAAGUACUCACUAUGCAGAAAGAAAGAGAAAGGCAAUGAUGAUGUGUCUCUAAAUUCCUAAAUUUAAAAACAAAACUAUUUAGCCCCAGCUCAGAGAAGCAGGUAGAGCAGUGCUCCCUUCUGCUGCCCCUGUGCACAAAUAAAAUCCAAUUUGGGUUAUAAACCAAAUUUUUAAAAAUUAUAUCACAGAAAUCACUCUAAAAAAUCUUUUGGGGGGGCCAGCACUGUGGUGUAGUGGGUAAAGCAAUCAACUUCAGUGUCAGCAUCCCAUAUGGGCGCCAG